UUUGUACUCCCUCCGUUCGGAAUUACUUGUCUCGGAAAUGGAUGUAUCUAGUCUAGAUACAUCCAUUUCCGAGACAAGUAAUUCCGAAUGGAGGGAGUAAGAA
rfam:Triticum aestivum genome assembly, contig: Triticum_aestivum_CS42_TGACv1_scaffold_288165_4AL